GCCGCCAGUGAGACUCUCGUCGUCCCCAACGCCAUGACCAGCAUCGGGUCGAGCUCGUCUCCGGUGUAGCGGCCACCUCGUCGCCUCCCCGUAGCUGCGCAAGCAAGAGGACCCAGGAGGGGUUCCAUUUUCGCGCGGAGCCGGAGCCGGGGCUUCUUCCUCGACGUCCCCGACGAGCACCUUCUUCCUCGGCCAGCGGCUUUUACCUGCAGCAGUAGGCGCACUUCUUCUUCUUCCACGUCGGGCGCCUCUCCUCUCGACGCAAGGUGAGCGAGACCGUGCCUCUCCCCCUCCUCGUUUCCUCUUCGGAAGUGGCGCCGAGCCUCCUGCUCGAGGCUUGCCGGAGUUGCACCGGCAGGCUAUACGUGUAGUUGUUUCUCUGCUAGUUGGCGCAGGCAGGGUAGACUUCCGCCGUUCGUGUCGAUGUAGACGAGGUAGCCCCACGGCUGUGCGUAGAUAGUAGCAGGGGAUCCAUCUCCUCGGGUUGCUUCGGUUCCUCCGGUAGCUGCUGCAGCAACAGGACGCCGGCGAACUCCCUGUCGCCGUGCAGUUCCGUCGAGCAAAGUUGUAGCUUCUUCAGCUUGUGUGCAUGGUGUUCUCUGCAGGAGAGGUUUGUAGUUGGUAGUGGUAGUAGGGUUCUUCCUCCCCCUCGUAGCGCCAUCCCACUUCGGCAGGUCGCCCUCGAGCGGCGCAGCGGCAGCAGUUGCUCGCCACGGCGUCUUCUCUGUCGCCGGCGCGCAGUUGUGGAGCAGAGACAGCGAUGGCCUUGGUAUUUCUCGCUUCAGGUCCUUCCUCUGUCAGAUGUAGUUGCAGUAGCGCAGUGGUAGUGACUCCUGUUGGUCAUCGAGAGGUGCAGGGUUCGAGUCCCCGGUGGUGCACCGCCCCUAUUUUUUUUGGUUUUAUUUCCUGAUCUCGCCAUGUACCCCUCCUCUGUCGAGUGCAUGGUGAUCAGUGGAGUGGUAUUGGUGCUCUAGGUUACCAGAGGGAGUACUGGGAUCGAAUCCCAGGAAGUUCCUUUUUUUUCUCUUUGCUGCUAUAUUUAUUCAUCUUUGCUUUGUAGUUCCUGUUAUACCCAUAGGUGGUCAUGGCAUCUUGUUUCUAUUUUAUUUUCUUGCUGUUAUUUCUAUGUUAGGUGAUGUAGUGUGUGGCUUGUGAGAAUUGCAUGUGUGUGUGAGGCCAUUUACAUAUGGAGAAGCUUGACAUAUGGUGUGUGCAUGGUGGUGCUACCUAGUAGUUUAUCCUAGGUGAAGCUAGCAAGUGAAGUAGCAAACUUGUGUAGCUUCUUCUUUGUUGUAAGUGCUAUCAUGUGUUGAUGCACUAGGUUGUGUGUUUACAUAUGGAGUUGACCUUGUUUUAGUUGGUAGCUAAGAUCAUGUGGAGUAUGUGAGUGUGUGUGGAACUUCCCCACCCUUUGCAAAAACUAUGCACCUUCACAUGUCUAUAUGUGAGAGGGCAUGGUGUUUGUGUGUGGGGAUAGUUUGGUAGAUAUGUUGGUAUUGUUGAUGUGCAUGACAAAAACAUGGGGUUCAAACCCCCAUGUCACUUUGUCAAUGAGCACAUAAGAUUCACCUAUGUAUUGUCAUCUUAGAAGCAUACCUUGUGGGAUGGCAUGUGCAUUUUGUUGAAAGUUUGGGCCUUGUUUCCAUGGUAUAGAUGGAGCCCAAGGGCAUGGAGCUUUGUGUGUUAGUGGUAGGGGUUUGUGCUCAACACCAUAGUGGUGUCAAUCACCUCUUGGUGACAUGUGUGUGCAAACUAUGCCUAGACGAAGUGGGCAUGUGGCUGGAAAAUUCCAGAUUUUUGAACUCUGAAAAAUUUCACUAAGUCUGGAAUGCUGAAAACAUUUUCUUCCCCUGUAGAUAAGGAAGUGCUGGUCAUUCUGUUGAGAAAUGGACUUAGUUCAGUGCUAGUGUUUUGAACCUGGGAUGUUUGUGAAGCUUCCUGUCAAUUUUCAAGUCAUUUAGAGUCCAGUAGCUUGUGUUUUGAUUGCUGUCAAAAGCUUCAGAACAGAAACAGAAACUCAGGUGCAGGAAUUUUCACUAAGUCCCUGAGAACUGAUGGUUUUGGGAAAGUUUGUGGCCUUGUAUCUUCUAGAGUUUAAUUCCUUUUGCUGUGAUUCUUGCUGGAGCUUGUAGUGUUCUUGGUUGGCAACAGCCACAUAUAUUAUUUGUCAUAUUUGAAGACCUGUAGCUAUGUUGCAUGUGGCUCACAAACAGCUAAGAUGCAGAAACUGGCAGAUUGCAUAGUUUUGCCAUUUUGUUCAAAGUUUGUGCUUAAUUGUUGUUGUGGUAUUCUACCUUGCUCCUUUUCAUUCAUGUUGGGUUAAUAUAUGUCUUGGCAACCUGGGAACACCAGAUCUGUGCCAAUCGAAUGUGUGGGGUUGAAUCUUUCACGUAGGGCUUCAUAUCGUGUUUCGUCGAUUCCCGUUGAUCCGUAGCUCCGUUGGCAAAGUUCUUUAUAUGGUUUUGCACCGUUUUUACGAGAUGCAUCUGUUCAUAUCAUUCCCAUGCAUGUCCAAAUAGUUUAGUGCAAAGUUCUGUCCAGGAACUUGUUGUAGUUUAUCUUGCUUGUGCUAGUGUUAGAAAUAGUGGUGCAUGCUCAACUUUCAUCUCAUGCAUCAUGUGAUUGUUGCAUUUUGUGGUGCUGCUGUUCAUUGUCUGUUAUUCUUGUGUUGGGUAGCACCGGGAGCGGAGACCGAAUACGUGGAGUCAGGAGAGUACGUGCAGGACGAUCCAGAACCAUUCCAAGCUGAGGAUAUCACAGGCAAGAUGACAUGACCUUGAUCCCAUAUCUAGACUUGUUGUGUUAGUUUCGAUUCCACGUUAUUGCUCGCUGCCUACCACUGAAAAUAUAUUGCCUCUUCAUAUGCCAUGAGCCUAAACACCUUACUCUUUUCUAGCAAACUUGCAUGGCUAGGUAGGCUUGCUCAGCUACUAAUGUUAGCAUUGUUAGUUGCAAGUGUUUAUAACUCAUGAGAUGCAUUGAGCUUGAUAUCAUUAUAUUAAUUUCUGUUAUUUAAUUAAUGUAUCUAUAUAUUUGGUAAAUGACGGGAGGCCUAGCCUUUUGCUGGGUGUCUUGUUCCGUUAUUGCCGCCUUAGUUACCGGUUACCGGUGUUUGAUUCCAUAAUGAUCGCUCCUAACACGUUCGGGGUUGUUAUGGGGACCCACUUGAUAAAUCGCGUAGUGUUAAGGCUUGUCCGGCAGGACCCAACAUUGGUACUAUUUGCUAAUCACUUAAUAAUAAACUGCAUAGGGAAUAGCUACCCCGAGGUUUCUUAAUCAACAACCCGGGCCAGUGCUCCUCAUGAGUGUUGGUCCAAACUGGGCAGACUACGGGGCCACCACAGGGCAACCUGAGGUUUGGUAUACCUGUAGUGUGACUCAUCCGGCGUGUCCUGAGACUGAGAUACGCGGCUCUUAUCAGGGUCGUCGACACGUCGGGAGGUCCUGCUAGUCUUGUCUUGCCUUAGCGGUAUAUCUUGCGUAUAGGAAUUCCGGUGAAGCUUUGGUUUCACCCAGAGUUGAGGUUUUCUCUAAGGAAUCCGACGAGAUCACGAGAUUCGUGAUAGAGGAUGCCUUUGCGGCCUGUGUUCGUUUGUGAUGGACUAGUUGGAGCACCCCUGCAGGGUUUAAUCUUUCGGAAAGCCGUGCCCGCGGUUAUGUGGCAACUUGGAAUAUUUUGUUAACAUCCGGUAUUAGAAAACUUAAACAUAAACUAAUAAAAUAUGCCAACUGUGUGCGUAACCGUGACUGUCCCUUCGAAGAUCUCUCUUCGACCGGGAACACGGUGGGGUUAUGAUUGCCGUAGGUAGGUGUUCAGGAUCACUUUCUGAUCAAGUAUUCCCGAUCGUUAGCGUAGGCCACUGUCACUUCUCCUUUGCGUAAGCUAGCCACUUAUUCAAACUUAGGAUGCAGCAGCCGGAAACACUUCACCCCUUCCUUGCCCAUUUACAUGACUAGAUCUGGCACCAAGGCCUUAGAUUGCUGAGUCCCCGUGGCUCACGGAUUCCUCCGAAACUUCCAGCAGGUACAGGUACCCCAGAGGCAGAGGAUCCCGACGGCACCCAGCUGGCGUGGCAGUACGACGAGGAGACAGAUCGCCUUUACGUGAACUAUCCAGAGGACUGAGCCGUGGUCGUGAUCGUGGGCCUGCAGCGGGUAGCAUAGCAUUUCCCUUGUUUUGUAGUCCGUACCAGAACUACAUUGAUUGUAUCUGCGUUGUACUCUGUAUUAUUAAUAAGAAGACAGUUGAAUCCCAGAUUGUCUACUUUAUUUCUUAUUAUGUGCUAUGUUUACUUGCUUGCAAAACACUUAGAUGCGCUUCUUUCCUAUUCGGGGCCUCGACCCCCAGAUCGGAAAGGACCGCAUCUUGGUCGUUACACCUC
rnacentral:lncRNA from 1 species